rnacentral:misc_RNA from 1 species
GAACUUACACCCAAGCUUGAAAGACUUGUUGCGAUACCUGGGGUGGCGGAAUCGCCGGAAGGCAAAAUUGACCUAGCGCGUGCGUGGCUUCGCUGCUGGCGCAACAACGGUUUCUGGCUCGCGGGUAUGCCUUCAACGUGGCAGAACCGAUCAAGGGCUGAGGGCGUAAGCGUCAAGGACAAAAAGGGCAAAGGCAAAUUCAAAGCCAUGGACGUGGUGAUCACGGACAAGGGCGCCCGCAAAGUUUUCAACGAGAAAUGGACACCUGAACUUUUGGCGUUAUUUACCGUCGAUUUGGGUGGC